AGAACUACCACCAGCUUUGCAGACGCCUCUGCUAUCGGGUGCCCUGUAGUAUCAGCCAUCGUCAACCCCGCCGUGUUCUUCGACAUCGCCGUGGAUGGCGGGCCCUUGGACCGCGUCUCCUUGGAGCUGUUUGCAGACAAGUUUCCAAAGACAGCAGGAAACUUUCAUGCUCUGAGCACUGGAGAGAAAGGAUUUGCUUAUAAGGGUUCCUGCUUUCACAAAAUUAUUCCAGGUUUUAUGUGUCAGGGUGGUGACUUCACACAUCAUAAUGGCACUGGCAGCAAGUCAAUCUAUGGGGAGAAAUUUGAUGAUGAGAACUUCAUCCUAAAGCAUACAGGUCCUGGCAUCUUGCCCAUGGCAAAUGCUGAACCCAACACAAACGGUUCCCAGUUUUUUCAUCUGCACUGCCAAGACUGAGUGGUUGGAUGGCAAGCAUGUGGUCUUCAGCAAGGUGAAAGUAGGCAUGAAUAUUGUGGAGGCCAUGGAGCGCUUUGGUCCAGGAGUGGCAAGACCAGCAAGAAGAUCAGCAUUGCUGACUGCAGACAACUCUAGUAA
rnacentral:lncRNA from 1 species